rnacentral:rRNA from 1 species
AGCGAACGCUGGCGGCAGGCCUAACACAUGCAAGUCGAACGGAUCCUUCGGGAUUAGUGGCGGACGGGUGAGUAACACGUGGGAACGUGCCCUUUGGUUCGGAACAACUCAGGGAAACUUGAGCUAAUACAGGAUGUGCCCUUCGGGGGAAAGAUUUAUCGCCAUUGGAGCGGCCCGCGUCUGAUUAGCUAGUUGGUGAGGUAACGGCCCACCAAGGCGACGAUCAGUAGCUGGUCUGAGAGGAUGAUCAGCCACGCUGGGACUGAGACACGGCCCAGACUCCUACGGGAGGCAGCAGUGGGGAAUCUUGCGCAAUGGGCGAAAGCCUGACGCAGCCAUGCCGCGUGAAUGAUGAAGGUCUUAGGAUUGUAAAAUUCUUUCAGCGGGGACGAUAAUGACGGUACCCGCAGAAGAAGCUCCGGCUAACUUCGUG